CUCAGUACUGUAGCCACUCUUCUACAGUUCACAGAUUCUGGUUGAUGAUGUCAUGACAGAAGAAAAUGCAAAACAGGCAGGCUUAAAUCAGCUUCCUGCUGAGCAUCACACAGCUGAGGCCUGAGACAGGGUGCAUCUGGGCCAUGGCUUUGCAGACCACUCUGGACGCAGUGCGGCUGGGGGUCCUCCUCAGCUCUUUCUGGAAGGUUGUGGAGAGCAAGGACCAAAUAUCUCAGCCUGCCACUGUGAUGUCUUCGGAGGGAGCCGUGGCCGAAAUCUCCUGCAAUCACUCUAUAUCCAAUGCUUACAACUUCUUCUGGUACCUUUACUUCCCGGGAUGUGCACCAAGGCUCCUCAUCAAGGGCUUAAGUCCUUCUCAGCAGGGACGCUACAACAUGACACAUGAGCGGUUCUCUUCAUCACUGCUCAUCCUUCAGGUGCAGGUGGCAGAUGCUGCUGUUUACUACUGUGCUCUGGAGGACACAGAGGCAGAGAGCCCGUAACAAGCUGAACAGAAACAGGGAGAGAACACAGCCUUUGCAGGAGGCGGAAAAGAGAUGAGCAAUAACCGCACCUCCCACCCCCAAUUCAGCAUUCCCCAAGCUUUUCCAUUUGGCACUGCCAUCAGAAAAAAACCUUUGAGUCCAGACACACUCUAUAUGAGUAAAUGUACAUAGGGAAAUUUGCUUUUAGGGAGUGAUUAAGUAAUGGCCCUGUAAAUCCAUGUUUUAAAUAGUCUCGAUAACUGGAACAAUUUUGACCCAUUUCUUUUUUUGAAAUUGGAGUUGAUUUCUUGCUUUCCCUUUUAAAGCGGCUGAUGAUGAACUUGUGAUAGGAGGAAGAGUCAUGUCCACUCUGCCAUUUUCUUCUUGCUUUCUGGGUUUGCAUUUUAAAUCUUAUGUGCCCGCUUUAGUCUCUUUUCAAGCCAUGUAUCUGUUUUGUAAAGGAUACUUUAGUUGACAUUGGGUAACAGAGUAAGGUGAAAGGAAAUGAAUGCACCAACACCCCUGAGCUUCAAUCCUUCUCUCAGGAUAUCUUAAUUAUGAUAAUCUAAUAUACAGACCCACUGAGGAUGCUAGUGUCAGUCAGUAUAUAUACAUAUAUUUUUUGCUUUUUAGGGCUGCACCCAUGGCAUAUGACAGUUUCCAGGCUAGAGG